AAAAUCCGUCGACUUUAAAUCGGGAGGGUUCACCUCCCCA
rnacentral:tRNA from 1 species